rnacentral:rRNA from 1 species
UACGUAGGCAGCAAGCGUUGUUCGGAGUUACUGGGCGUAAAGGGUGUGUAGGCGGUUGUUUAAGGUUGGUGGGAAAUCUCCCGGCCCAACCGGGAGGGUGCGCCGAAUACUGAGUGACUAGAGUGCGGGAGAGGAAAGUGGAAUUCCUGGUGUAGCGGUGAAAUGCGUAGAUAUCAGGAGGAACACCGGUGGUGUAGACGGCUUUCUGGACCGUAACUGACGCUGAGACACGAAAGCGUGGGUAGCAAACAGG